rnacentral:rRNA from 1 species
CCAAGAUGUCCGAAUGGGGAAACCCAGUAGAUGAAGAAUCUACUAUCACUUACUGAAUCCAUAGGUAAGUGAGGCAAACCGGGAGAACUGAAACAUCUAAGUACCCCGAGGAAAAGAAAUCAACCGAGAUUUCGUUAGUAGCGGCGAGCGAACGCGAAGGAGCCUGUUAGUGAUAAUGACAUAGACAGAGGAACAAGCUGGGAAGCUUGGCGAUACAGGGUGAUAGCCCCGUACUCGAAGUCCAGGUCAUGGUACUAAGCUAACGACAAGUAGGGCGGGACACGUGAUAUCCUGUUUGAAGAUGGGGGGACCAUCCUCCAAGGCUAAAUACUCCUGAUUGACCGAUAGUGAACCAGUACUGUGAAGGAAAGGCGAAAAGAACCCCGGUGAGGGGAGUGAAAUAGAACCUGAAACCUUGUACGUACAAGCAGUGGGAGCCCUUUAAGGGUGACUGCGUACCUUUUGUAUAAUGGGUCAGCGACUUAUAUUUUGUAGCGAGGUUAACCGAAUAGGGGAG